AUUGAACGCUGGCGGCAGGCUUAACACAUGCAAGUCGAGCGGAGAGAGGUAGCUUGCUACUGAUCUUAGCGGCGGACGGGUGAGUAAUGCUUAGGAAUCUGCCUAUUAGUGGGGGACAACAUUUCGAAAGGAAUGCUAAUACCGCAUACGUCCUACGGGAGAAAGCAGGGGAUCUUCGGACCUUGCGCUAAUAGAUGAGCCUAAGUCGGAUUAGCUAGUUGGUGGGGUGAAGGCCUACCAAGGCGACGAUCUGUAGCGGGUCUGAGAGGAUGAUCCGCCACACUGGGCCGGAGACACGGCCCAGACUCCUACGGGAGGCAGCAGUGGGGAAUAUUGGACAAUGGGCGGAAGCCUGAUCCAGCCAUGCCGCGUGUGUGAAGAAGGCCUUAUGGUUGUAAAGCACUUUAAGCGAGGAGGAGGCUACUUUAGUUAAUACCUAGAGAUAGUGGACGUUACUCGCAGAAUAAGCACCGGCUAACUCUGUGCCAGCAGCCGCCGUAACAC
rnacentral:rRNA from 1 species